rnacentral:lncRNA from 1 species
GUCCCUCCAUUUCAAAGAAGUCCGACUCAAUUUUAAUAUUAAGGUGAAUAUUGUUUCUUCUGGGAAGGUGACCAAUCUUGAUGACUAGACGAGAGUGAUUGAAAGCUAUACAAGGAGAAUGAGAAACAAUAGUGUUGUUAAAAACCAAAUACCACAAAUUAUAGAAAACUCUAUCUGCACGAGCAGAAACUCGAUUUCUUCCAAAAUGAUUAUUACACCACGUAGAAUGAUUUCCAAUAAAUCCAAUAUCGAUAAGAUAAUUUUAAAAAAUGAAAUCAUUGAAAUCCAAAAUGGACGGAGUUAAAGCGAAGGGGCACCCCCUAGUUUAUUUAUAGGACAUGAAAUGGAAUUUAUGUUACCGUAGAUAAUCCACGGAAAAUAGGAGGUAUCAAUUUGAAAAAACAAAGUCCAAAGGGAUUUACGAAGAUGAGAAAUUACACUAGCAUAAACCAUAGAAAGAAGGUAAGGCGGCUUACCCGAUGCUUUAGUGAUACGGUUAAUUGCUUACCUACUGAGGAAAGCCAUAGUGUUUGAAGGAAUGAGGCUUUUAGGCCACCAAAAUUCCCUAGACCUCCCUUUUGCAGUAGAGAAAGCAC